UAAGACGUAGGGGGCCAGCGUUGUUCGGAAUUACUGGGUGUAAAGGGUUCGUAGGCGGUGUGGCAAGUUGGGAGUGAAAUCUCUGGGCUCAACUCAGAGGCUGCUUCCAAAACUGCCGUGCUGGAGUGUGGGAGAGGCGCGUGGAAUUGCAGGUGUAGCGGUGAAAUGCGUAGAUAUCUGCAGGAACACCCGUGGCGAAGGCGGCGCGCUGGACCACUACUGACGCUGAGGAACGAAAGCUAGGGGAGCAAACAGGAUUAGAUACCCUGGUAGUCCUAGCCCUAAACGAUCAGGACUUGGGGUGCCACCCGUUCGGGUGUCGUCCCGGAGCUAACGCGUUAAGUCCUGCACCUGGGGAGUACGGUCGCAAGACUGAAACUCAAAGGAAUUGACGGGGGCCCGCACAAGCGGUGGAACAUGUGGUUCAAUUCGACGCUACGCGAGGAACCUUACCUGGGCUCGAAAUGCUUCUGACCAGCUGUGGAAACACGGCCUUCCCGCAAGGGACAGGAGUAUAGGCGCUGCAUGGCUGUCGUCAGCUCGUGGCCGUGAGGUGUUGGGUUAAGUCGCGCAACGAGCGCAACCCCUGUCCUUAGUUGCCAUCAGGUAAAGCUGGGCACUCUAGGGAGACAAACCCUCUCUGAGGGUGGGAAGGUGGGGAUGACGUCAAGUCAGGAUGGCCCUUACGGCCUGGGCUGCACACGUGCUACAAUGCUCGGUACAGAGGGACGCAAGACCGCGAGGUGGAGCAAAUCCCAAAAACCGAGCCCAGUUCAGAUUGCAGUCUGCAACUCGACUGCAUGAAGCCGGAAUCGCUAGUAAUGGCGUAUCAGCUACGACGCCGUGAAUACGUUCCCGGGCCUUGUACACACCGCCCGUCACGUCAUGAAAGCCGGUUUUGCCCGAAGUGCGUUUGCCAACCAGCAAUGGAGGCGGCGCCCUAAGGUGAGGCUGGUGAUUGGGAGCG
rnacentral:rRNA from 1 species